rnacentral:rRNA from 1 species
AUGUUGAAUCUUCCCAGCCUCUCUCCACCCAAUAGGAACGCGCUCAAAACCAGAUCAUCCUGUGAACUCUUUUUCCUUUUGAACUAUAUUAGUUUGUGGCGGGAUGCAGGGAGGAAAAUAUCUCUACUCUUAUUCUUGCAGAUGGAUCUGAGUGCUACCUUUGAAUCAUUGAUUGCGAAUGGAUCAUCAAAAUUGCACGGGAACAGUUACAAAAGAAAAUCACCAGUAAUCCCUACAGGAGCACGCUCCAUGCUUGAAAUGGUGAAACCUAUUCCUAUCUCUCAUAACAAUCUCCCUGUCGAAGACCUUAGAUAUCAUCUUGGUAUAAUCAUGGCAGUCUUUGCACACUCUCAAGUUCUUCACGAUCCUAAUCACCGUGCCUUCUGGCAACGUGAUAAGACCGAAGGCGAGGGCAAGCUUCUCACUGUGCAAGGAGAUCGCACUUUCUUUCUCCUCUUCCUCGAUAUCGAACAGUACCUCUUUUGUGUUUGCGGCGUACCCUUGCAACCUCAGCUUAUGGCUCAUACCUGCAAGCAUGGUCUCGAUAUCCUUGUAUCUGGGGUGAGACUUGCUCCCGACGAAGAACUCAUGCACCUUGCCAUCAACCUCAAUGGCACUACACCCAGGCACCUUUUUCACUCCCUUAGACUUCAUCAUGUUCCGAACUUUGCUGACGCCCUUCCAGUUGUGCGACUCCGCGUAUAUAUUAGACAGCAACACGUGAGCCGCAUCAUUUUUGGACUCAAUCUUCAUGAGCUUGUACAUUGCGUGUUUGCCCAGAUCGACGUUGUUGUGAAUCCGAGAAGCGUUGAGUAG